rnacentral:rRNA from 1 species
CCCUUAGAUGUUCUGGGCCGCACGCGCGCUACACUGACGAAUGCAACGAGCUUAUAACCUUGGCCGAUAGGUCUGGGUAAUCUUUGAACGCUGUUCGUGAUUGGGAUAGACCUUUGCAAUUAUGGGUCUUCAACGAGGAAUUCCUAGUAAACGCAAGUCAUCAACUUGCAUUGAUUACGUCCCUGCCCUUUGUACACACCGCCCGUCGCACCUACCGAUUGAAUGGUCCGGUGAAGCCUCCGGAUUGGCGCGCACCUCGGUGCCGCCGAGAAGUUGGCUAAACCUUACCAUUUAGAGGAAGGUGAAGUCGUAACA